rnacentral:rRNA from 1 species
UGGGGAAUAUUGGACAAUGGGGGCAACCCUGAUCCAGCCAUGCCGCGUGAGUGAUGAAGGCCUUAGGGUUGUAAAGCUCUUUCGCCCGCGAAGAUAAUGACGGUAGCGGGAGAAGAAGCCCCGGCUAACUUCGUGCCAGCAGCCGCGGUAAUACGAAGGGGGCUAGCGUUGUUCGGAAUCACUGGGCGUAAAGCGUACGUAGGCGGAUGCUUAAGUCAGAGGUGAAAGCCUGGAGCUCAACUCCAGAACU